UAGAGAGAGACAUGCGCGCAUAUCAAUAAGCGGAGGAAAAGAAACUAACUAGGAUUCCCUCAGUAACGACGAGUGAAGCGGGAAGAGCUCAAAUUUGAAAUCUUCAAGGUUCUACCUUGACGAAUUGUAGUUUAAAGAAGUGUUUUCUGUUGGAGUUUUGGUAAAAGUUCUUUGGAAUAGGACAUCAUAGAGGGUGAGAAUCCCGUAUUUGACCAUUAUUUCCAGCUUUGUGAUACACUUUCAAAGAGUCGGAUUGUUUGGGAAUGCAGUCCAAAAUGGGUGGUAAAUUUCAUCUAAAGCUAAAUAUUGGCGAGAGACCGAUAGCGAACAAGUACCGUGAGGGAAAGAUGAAAAGAACUUUGAAAAGAGAGUUAAACAGUACGUGAAAUUGUCAAAAGGGAAGCGUUUGACACCAGUGUUGUUUUCCUCGAAAAUCAAUUAAAAAAGGCUAGGAUUUUGUGUUGUAUUGACCUUUAAUCAGCUUUCUGCACUUCAAUUUUCUUGUCUUUUUUUAAUGCACUUUUCGUUUAACAAGUCAACAUCAGUUUCUUUUGUUGUAAAAAGGGUCAUUGGAAGGUGGCUUUCUUUUCGGAGAAAGUGUUUAUAGCCUUUGCCUCCUGCAAUCGGAGAGAUUGAGGUCUGCAGCGUAGAUCCUUCGGGGUUAGAUACAUUUGUGCUAAGUUAUAGCCUUUUCAUAGACAACUUGUUGACUAUGAUCAGUCUAUGUAGCUUACUCGCUUAUGCUAUUUUACCUACGCUUAGGAUGUUGAUGUGAUACUGCGAGCA
rnacentral:rRNA from 1 species